rnacentral:rRNA from 1 species
GACGAACGCUGGCGGCGUGCUUAACACAUGCAAGUCGAACGGAAAGGCCCUGCUUUUGUGGGGUGCUCGAGUGGCGAACGGGUGAGUAACACGUGAGUAACCUGCCCUUGACUUUGGGAUAACUUCAGGAAACUGGGGCUAAUACCGGAUAGGAGCUCCUGCUGCAUGGUGGGGGUUGGAAAGUUUCGGCGGUUGGGGAUGGACUCGCGGCUUAUCAGCUUGUUGGUGGGGUAGUGGCUUACCAAGGCUUUGACGGGUAGCCGGCCUGAGAGGGUGACCGGCCACAUUGGGACUGAGAUACGGCCCAGACGCCUACGGGAGGCAGCAGUGGGGAAUAGUGCACAAUGGGCGGAGGCCUGAUGCAGCAACGCCGCGUGCGGGAUGACGGCCUUCGGGUUGGAAACCGCUUUCGCCUGUGACGAAGCGUGAGUGACGGUAAUGGGGAAAGAAACACCGGCUAACUACGU